AUUGAACGCUGGCGGCAUGCCUUACACAUGCAAGUCGAACGGCAGCACGGGAGCAAUCCUGGUGGCGAGUGGCGAACGGGUGAGUAAUAUAUCGGAACGUGCCCAGUCGUGGGGGAUAACGUAGCGAAAGCUACGCUAAUACCGCAUACGAUCUAUGGAUGAAAGCGGGGGGAUCGCAAGACCUCGCGCGAUUGGAGCGGCCGGUAUCAGAUUAGGUAGUUGGUGGGGUAAAAGCCUACCAAGCCUUCGAUCUGUAGCUGGUCUGAGAGGACGACCAGCCACACUGGAACUGAGACACGGUCCAGACUCCUACGGGAGGCAGCAGUGGGGAAUUUUGGACAAUGGGCGCAAGCCUGAUCCAGCAAUGCCGCGUGCAGGAUGAAGGCCUGGUGUAAACUGCUUUUGUUACGGAACGAAACGGUUACUUUCUAAUACAGAGAGCUAAUGACGGUACCGUAAGAAUAAGACACCGGCUAACUACGUAGCCAGCAG
rnacentral:rRNA from 1 species